GCAGAAUUGCACAGUGGAGCCUGGGACUCGAUCAUCUUCCAAAACCAACCUUAAGGACGUGUUCCACAUUCCUGCAGAUGGACUUCCAGAGAUAAAAGGUCAAAUGGCUUCGCAAAUAGCAGAUAAAUGUCAGAAUGAGAAGAACUGUGUCAAGGGCGCCUUUGGCAUCUCGGCCACCACAGGAUCCAAGAAACUCAGGAGGAGAAGCACAGCUUUCCAU